AAAAAACCUCUAUUUCAGAGGUUAGACUCGCUGUAAUUAGCUCCUACUAGUAAGAAGCUGUUCCCAAACCAAGUUCUUUAGAUCCAUGUGUUUCUAGCAGGGGCUAAAUGGAUCGAGGAAUAAAAUAUAUAUAUUUAUACUGUAUGGAGGGAUCUGUAAAGCUCAGGAGGGAUAGCACCAUGAAAAAUGAUGUGAUAUAUGUUGGUUUUAAAUUUUUGAAUCUUUUUUUUUCCCAACAAAACUUUCAAUUAUUUUGGCGCUAUCCAUCCUGAGUUCUAUGGCUUCUUCUUACUUUUUGCUAUCUCCUCUUCACAAAUUUCACUCACACAAUUUUCAGGUAAUUAAUUACUUUCUCUACUGAAUUCUUUCUUAUCAUAUACAAGUUAAAUCUUUUAAUUUAAUUAAGCAUAAUUUUCCAUUUUAGCAGUCUCACUUGACUUGCUUACAUAAUCAUAACCAUUUUGACAAAUCAAUUCAUCUUCUGCAUUCUGGACAAUAUCAUGAUAUAUAUUCAUGCCAUGUACACUUUCUUUUGAUCCUUUACUUAUACUAGUCCUUACAUCAACCAGUGUGUCAUUAGGUGUAGUCAGUAACGUAGCUACAUACAUUGAAGGGUAGUCAACUGAACAUACUUCAUCGAAAAAUAAUAUUGUAUAUAUAAAUAUUUAUACUGUAUAUAUAGGUAAAAUAUUAUUAAGUUUCUUAAGUCGAAUCUUUUAAUUAUUGAAGAAUUGAAAACUAUAUUUUUCCAAACAAAAAGAAUUCUUUUGAAGAAUAGGAAUCCCAAUAACCAUUCUUUGAAGUUGAUUUAAAGAAAUAUUAAUUUGUUUGGUGACGUGAGGCUCUAGUUUAAAACUUUGAAACUAUAUCAAAUUAAAAAAAUCUUUGAAAGUGGAACACGAGGAUUUCUAUGUGUUCCAUAGUUUUUCUCGGUGUAGUAACUAUGUUAGUUGUAGUAAUACAUAUGAGCAAUUUUAAACACCCUUUUGAGCUCUAAUUAAAGAUUAUUUUCAAAUAAUUUUUAAUCAGAUGUUUUGGGUUCAGAUCUCAUAGAAAGCACUUCUUUUGAUGAAUCACGCUAUGUGAGUAUGAAUUAGUUAAUAGUUAGGUCAUUGUCUCAGUCAUUUUUCUUUGUUAGGUUUCACCACAAAUGAGUGCAAUCAGACGGAUGAAAUUUCUUUACUAAUUAUAAUCAGAUAUCUCGGAUUCAGAUCUUACAAGAAGCACUUCUUUUAGUGAAUCCUACGCGGUGUGGAUAAUGAAUUAGUUAGGUCAAUGAGUUUAUCAAAUAUCAGGUAAAGGGUAGCCCGGUGCACUAAACUCUUGCUAUGCACAAAGUUCGAAAAAAGAACGAAUCACAAGAGUCUAUUGUACGUAGCUUUAUCCUGCAUAUAUGCAAGAGCAUGUUUCAAAUAUCAGAUGCAUACAGAAAAAAAAUUUGUUAGGUUUGAAUAACUUUUUUCAUUUUUUUUCUUCUUUUUCCCAGUUAGGUUUCAAUGAUAUAGUUCCCCUUUGAAGCCUAAGAAUAAGGCUUUUUCCGUGUCUAUCUGAUAACCUCUUAAAUGCUUCUCCUUACAGUACUCUGAGACUAUGAGAGGUCAUGCAAUAUUACUCAUGUAUAUUAAUAUAUGCAGAAGAAUAAAAAGGAAGUAGUUGUGACUAGGGUUUUGCCAUA
rnacentral:lncRNA from 1 species